AACGCUAGCUACAGGCUUAACACAUGCAAGUCGAGGGGCAGCAUGGACUUAGCUUGCUAAGUUUGAUGGCGACCGGCGCACGGGUGAGUAACGCGUAUCCAACCUUCCGUACACUCAGGGAUAGCCUUUCGAAAGAAAGAUUAAUACCCGAUGGUAUAAAGAGUUCGCAUGUUCUCUUUAUUAAAGAAUUUCGGUAAGCGAUGGGGAUGCGUUCCAUUAGAUAGUUGGCGGGGUAACGGCCCACCAAGUCUACGAUGGAUAGGGGUUCUGAGAGGAAGGUCCCCCACAUUGGAACUGAGACACGGUCCAAACUCCUACGGGAGGCAGCAGUGAGGAAUAUUGGUCAAUGGACGAGAGUCUGAACCAGCCAAGUAGCGUGAAGGAUGACUGCCCUAUGGGUUGUAAACUUCUUUUAUAAGGGAAUAAAGUGAGGGACGUGUCCCUUUUUGUAUGUACCUUAUGAAUAAGGAUCGGCUAACUCCGUGCCAGCAGCCGCGGUAAUACGGAGGAUCCAAGCGUUAUCCGGAUUUAUUGGGUUUAAAGGGAGCGUAGGUUGACAUAUAAGUCAGCUGUGAAAGUUUACGGCUCAACCGUGAAAUUGCAGUUGAUACUGUAUGUCUUGAGUGUACAAGAGGUGGGCGGAAUUCGUGGUGUAGCGGUGAAAUGCUUAGAUAUCACGAAGAACUCCGAUUG
rnacentral:rRNA from 1 species